UGCGGGGGGAGCAAGCGUUGUUCGGAUUUACUGGGCGUAAAGGGCGCGUAGGCGGCCACCGCAAGUCAGUUGUGAAAUCUCUGGGCUUAACCCAGAACGGUCAGCUGAUACUGCGGGGCUAGAGUGCAGAAGGGGCAACUGGAAUUCACGGUGUAGCAGUGAAAUGCGUAGAUAUCGUGAGGAAGACCAGUGGCGAAGGCGGGUCUCUGGACAGUUCCUGACACUGAGGCACGAAGGCCAGGGGAGCAAACGGG
rnacentral:rRNA from 1 species